rfam:Phascolarctobacterium sp. CAG:266 genomic scaffold, scf192
AAUCAGAAGAUAAUCGGGCCAUAGACAGCAGGUGCGGCACAGCCGCGUAAGCAUAGCGCCAGCCGAGGUUGGAGACGUUGAAGAUAGACCUUCGCGACCUCCGGCUGCGGCCGAGAGGUCUUUUUGAUUUAAUA